rnacentral:rRNA from 1 species
UACCCGCAGCACAAGUGGUGGUCAUUAUUAUUGGGCCUAAAGCGUCCGUAGCUGGCUUGUUAGAUGCCUGGGUAAAUCGAUGCGCUCAACGUAUCGAAUUCCGGGUAGACCGGCAAGCUCGAGACCGGGAGAGGUGUAGGCUACUCGAGGGGUAGGGGUAAAAUCCUGUAAUCCUUCGGGGAGGACCAGUGGCGAAGGCGCUACACUAGAACGGCUCUGACAGUGAGGGACGAAGCCCUGGGGCGUAAACCGG